GCGGGAUUAGUUGAUCGGCUCAACGCUACCUUCCCAAGGUAGAGAAACGGGUUCAAUUCCCGUAUCCCGCUCAA
rnacentral:tRNA from 1 species